rnacentral:rRNA from 1 species
UUUCCGUAGGUGAACCUGCGGAAGGAUCAUUACCACACCGA